rnacentral:rRNA from 1 species
AGGACGAACGCUGGCGGCGUGCCUAACACAUGCAAGUCGAACGAGGUCCAGUCGGUAGCAAUACCAACGAAGACCUAGUGGCGAACGGGUGAGUAGCACGUGAGCAACCUGCCCCGAAGACCGGGACAACACCGGGAAACCGGUGCUAAUACCGGAUGUCCCCACCGUGUCGCAUGGCGUGGUGAGGAAAUGGAUUCCGCUUCGGGAGGGGCUCGCGGCCUAUCAGCUUGUUGGUGAGGUAACGGCUCACCAAGGCUUCGACGGGUAGCUGGUCUGAGAGGACGAUCAGCCACACUGGGACUGAGACACGGCCCAGACUCCUACGGGAGGCAGCAGUGGGGAAUCUUGCACAAUGGGCGAAAGCCUGAUGCAGCAACGCCGCGUGAGGGACGAAGGCUUUCUGAGUUGUAAACCUCUUUCAGCAGGGACGAUUGUGACGGUACCUGCAGAAGAAGCCCCGGCCAACUACGUGCCAGCAGCCG